GCAGUCGUGGCCGAGGGGUUAAGGCGAUGGACAAGAAAUCUAUUGGGGUCUCCCCGCACAGGCUCGAAUCCUGUCGACUGCG
rnacentral:tRNA from 1 species